CCUACGGGUGACAGCAGUGAGGAAUAUUGGUCAAUGGACGAGAGUCUGAACCAGCCAAGUAGCGUGAAGGAUGACUGCCCUAUGGGUUGUAAACUUCUUUUAUAUGGGAAUAAAACGUUCCACGUGUGGGAUUUUGUAUGUACCCUACGAAUAAGGAUCGGCUAACUCCGUGCCAGCAGCCGCGGUAAUACGGAGGAUCCGAGCGUUAUCCGGAUUUAUUGGGUUUAAAGGGAGCGUAGGUGGAUUGUUAAGUCAGUUGUGAAAGUUUGCGGCUCAACCGUAAAAUUGCAGUUGAAACUGGCAGUCUGAGGUACAGUGGAGGUGGGCGAAAGUGGGGGUGUAGCGGUGAAAUGCUUGGAUAUCACGAAGAACUCCGAUGGCAAGGGCAGUUCACUGGACUGCAACUGACACUGGGGCUCGAAAGUGUGGGUAUCAAACAGGAUUAGAUACCCUGGUAGU
rnacentral:rRNA from 1 species